UUUGUUGUGGCGGCUUGAUUACUCUUCCACUUCAGCUGGUGUUUGGGUUUCUCCUUAGAGAACGCCCCAUGUUUGCUCUUGCAACAGUAGCAACUGCAGUGGGAAUAUGGACGAUCUUCCCCUAUGUGGUGGCUGCAUCCACGGCUUUGUUCCUCUACAUUCGCAGUCGCUACUCCAGCAAAGAUUAGCUCUUCUUGUUACUACUACUCAAUAUAGAAAGAUGUAAGAUCAUAUAAAAAGAUCAGAUAUAGUACUCAGCCAAUCAAUACUAAUGGCCUAUAUUGUUUUAGAGUAUUAUGUCCAAAGAAUGAAUAUACACACUAACUUGCUCAAUUGACUUUUCCUAGAAACACUGUUUUGUGUUUUGAAUUGUGACAUUUCUUCGAUUUUAUUCACCUGA